UCUUUAUAAUUUGAUAAAUUAAUUUAAUUUAGAUUUAUAUAUAUAUAUUUUUUUAUUAAAUUAUUUUAUUGGGGUAAUAUAAAGAUUUAAGUAAUUCUUUAUUUUUGAUACAUUUAUUUAUGAUUAUAUGAUCCAAUUUUAUUGAUUAUAAGAUUAAGU
rnacentral:rRNA from 1 species